rnacentral:misc_RNA from 1 species
GACGGGUCUCGUGAUACCUGUUAUCUCGAGCUGUGAAUCGNUUUCNUGUGUUGCNUACCUCNAGAGAAGGNAAUCGGUAGUCCCAACGUCCCAUUUCGCCUUGCGUUGUCCCUAUCCGGGGCGACGCGGGGUGAACCAUGAAGCAAUCUCUGCGUCCCACUCCACCCACAUUAGGUUGUGGUCGUGGAUUGGUCCGCAGGGCAUUCGCUUGAGCUCUCGGAUGCGGUGCAUUAUAAGCGGGCACGGGGACUCACGUCCUCUAUUUGCCCGAAAUAAAGCUUUCAUCGCUUAGUUGCGAACGAUUGCGAUCCCCGUUUCGAGCCCCCGGGCAAGUGCGGCGGUCGCUUCGUUGAGGAAUGCUACCUGGUUGAUCCAG